UUAGGACUUUUGUAGACGUUU
ensembl:piRNA 21ur-8534 ncRNA